ACACAGCAGCCCCUCAUCUCUCAGCCGCCCCCAUCUUCCCCAGAAACAGCAGCGCCUUCCUCUCUCGGCCAACCACCAUCAACCGGCCAACAGCAGCAUCGUCCCUUCCCCAGCAGCUCAUUACGGAUACGGCGAGGAAAUGAGAAGGGAGGCCAGAGGACAGUGAAGAAGGGGCAGAAAACCGAAGCUUGGAUGGGCGCCGAUCUCACAACCAUGGCAGCGGUGGACAACACCGCCGUUGCAGAAAUGAAAUGGGAGGAGGGAAGAUGCCGAUCCAGCCAUCCACACGCCCGGCUCCAGACUUGGCAGAUCUGAAGGAAGAGAAGCCAGAUUGAAAAUAAAGAAAGACUUG
rnacentral:lncRNA from 1 species